rnacentral:lncRNA from 1 species
CGUAACACCGUGUUGCAUAUACCCCCUGCCAAUUCAAAAUCUUCUACGGGGACGUAACAAUGUAACAAUAGCUUUUCAAAUGUUGUUGAAUUUUUUCAGAUUUUUAUUGCAUCACGAAGUACGGAAAUUUCAAUCAGAUAUAAUUUUUGGUCGAGCUAUCCAUCCAGUUAUACCUUAAGUGAUAGCAGCAGUGAUGAAUAGAAUCGCUUCCUACUAAAGCACAACGUUUACUUUCUCUUUUAUUUUGUACAGAAAUGGCUACGGGACAGUUAUACGCAGUUGACGUAGGAUUCUUCAUAGUCAACUCAAAGCAUGUUGUCUUGAAGGAGAUAGCAAUAAUAUCACUAACAGAGAAUUAUAUGGAUUGCUGGAUGUUACAACCACCUGAAGAGUAUCUACGAGCACCAGAUAAAUUUGAAGAAUCUAGCCACCCCCAUGGGCUGGGAUGGCAAGAAGGAAGUGUCACCUACCGACAGGGAAUCGACCAAUUAAAGGUUCUAAGCAGGAAUGCCCGUCGGAUAUACAUUUUUGGAAAGGAGCAAAGCACAUUCUUACAAGCAAUUGUGGAAUGCCCACUGGUGGACCUCAGUACAAGAUUCUCCGUGCUCACUCCAAGCGUUACACCUAAGUGCUUUUGCAUCCACCACGGGAUUUUAUUGAGGGAAAAUUUCUCUUGUGCGUUGAACAACGCCAUGAAAAUAAAAAGAUUCUUAAUGGAACAAUGGCAAUUAAUCAUGGAGCAAAGACCGAAAGAAGAGCCAAUACCGUGUUGCGUACCCCCUACUAAUUCAAAAUCUUCUACGAAGAUGUAACACUUUGUACGAAAAUAUGAUGAUUUGGCCUCCUUCAAUGACAUUAAUUCGUAGACGUCACAUUCCCUUUGAAGUCACACACUCACCACACUGGUGCAAAUUUGCACUUGGACUUUUCAAAACUUUCUAUUUCACCCAUGACUGUGUUACAUCAUGAUCAGUAACCCCUGACCUAACGAAAAACCUAUUAGAUACAAAGUAAGAAAAAAAUGUAGUACGCAGAAAAAUAAGUCUCCCAUUUUAAAAAACAAAUAUCAUAUCAGCGCAUAAAAAUUAUCAAGGCAAGGCAAAAGUGGCUGCCUAACUUGACUCACCCAGCGCAUCAUGCUAAGAGAUACGCGCAACACGGAUAGACUCACACAGCUUCACUGAGAAACGCGCAACACGGAUAGACUCACACAGCUUCACUGAGAAACGCGCAACACGGAUAGACUCACACAGCUUCACUGUGACACGCGCCACACGGAUAGACUCACCAAGAGACGCUAUUGCGGUCAAGAUUAUGCGCCGAAACACGCGCCAGAAAAGACAUAAAACUGUUGUUCGGCUCAUGUGCAAGAAAGCCACGGGUACCCCUUCCUUUCAUUAUCUGCAAAUCAUUGGCUAUGGGCAAAUAGGUCACAUGCGCGACCCAGAACUUCCAAAGCUCAUCCCUCAAGACGCAGAAAUCACGUCAUAUUUUUGCGCUACCAAUCAGAAGAAAAGAAGUAGAUGGGGGAAACCCUAUAAAAACGGGGGGCAAGUGCCCGGAAGGCAGUGAAGCAGCGCAGAAAGGAAGCGCAGAUAAAAAGAAAGAUCCAAUCAGUUGUCUCAAGAAGUCUUUGUUACCACGCCCGCGAAUAAAUUAAAGAAAGGAAGAAAAGAAAGUCAGAAUUUCUCAUCGGCUCUUGUUCAAAGUUGAACUUAGAAAAUUUUCGAAAAGUAAGCUCACUCAAUAUCUCAGACUCAACCAAAGCGGAAAUUCCAAUUAUAAUUACAACAAAUAUAAUUAUAAAUAUUGUAACCUAUCUCGGAGCGAGCAUUUGUAACUGCUUGAAACCUACGACGACGCUUCGACCCGGACCAUUGUAAAGCAAAUAUAAGAGGGAACAACCAGUACCUUCCAAUAAAGAGUAACAUCAAUUAACCCACCAAGGAAAAACCCUCGAACUCACACGAACGUGAACUUGGAAUCAACACUCUCUUGCGGACGAGUUCAUAUGACAUCACAGGACGAAUCAUGUGCUAAAAGAAAAUAUCUUCGAUCGUGCGUCGCCACAGGCCCGAAGAUACAUUUGAGAUUAACAAAUGUCACCACAUCCAACUUUCGAUGUCUUUGGCUCGUGUCCAAGGGAAUAGUUCGUUCUACAGAAGUAUGAAAGUAUGAAUCUCUGACGUUUGACACGCGCUCGAUAUCUGGCUCUGAUGCAUUUUCGUCCUUACUUCGAGCUGGGACUGAACAACCCAAUGCGCAAUGGAAUUGCGAUAAAAGUUAUUAGCUUUGAAGAUCGUUGAAAAAUGUGAGACUCGUAACGAAUUGCUCAGAUACGUGGAGACUCGCCAGUACUUGGUCGUCCGCGCAAUUAGCAUAAAACGUGUAUGCUGUAAGGAUCAGGAGCUUCCGAUGGAGAGGAUCUUGCCACGCCACGAGCACGCUAUGUGUACGCCAACACAACGCGUUCAUUACCUCUCAUGAAUUGCGAACGGUUUACCGUUAUCACCUAAUGACCAGAAGCAACCAACACCGGUGACUA